GAGCACUUAUUCACUCGCAUCGCAUACAAAUACAAAUACAAUACAGGUACAGCCCCCUUUCUGAGAGAGAGAAUUCAAUUUCAAUUGCGAAUUAUAUGCUGCAGCGAGUGGAGAUUCUGUAUCCAACUGCAAUUGAAUUGUGCGGGUUGAGCUAAUAAUAUGGCGAAUAGCGAAGGGGAUGGGGAGAUCAGGCUCAAAGCAAUCGAGUUGAAGAAAGAGCUGCAGAAGCUGUUGGAGGCGAUUGUGGAGGAUGAAGACCUCAAUCUCAAGACGGUCGAUAGGGCGCAGCAAAUGCUCUCUGUGUUGAAGGAUUUGAAACUCAAGAAGACUGCUGAUUUGGAGCUCCAGUGUCAAGAUUCCAUCCCCGUCGCCGUGCCGGAGGAGUUCAAGUGCCCUCUCUCGAAGAAGCUCAUGAGUGAUCCCGUCAUUCUCUGCACCGGACUGACAUAUGAUCGUGCCUACAUUCAAAACUGGCUUAAAUCUGGGAAGAGGACGUGCCCUCAAACCGAGCAGGUGCUGUCACACACUGCUCUCGUACCAAACCAUUUGAUCCGUGAUAUGAUAACGAACUGGUGCGAGAUUCGUGGGAUCAAACUGCCAGAAUGUAAUUACAAUGAUGGGGAGGCCUUGUCCGAGGCAGACACACGGGAAGUCCACCAUCACCUGGCCAAGUUGUCAUCCACGUUAUUAUCUGACCAGAUAGAAGCUGCUAAAAGACUGCGCCAAUUGACAAAACAAAUUCCUUCCAUUCGUGCGUUAUUUGCUGAAUCUGAAAAGGCUAUUCCACAGCUAGUGUCUGUGCUCUCUCGAGUGAAUACCAAGAUUCAUCAAGGCCUGCUAGAGGACGUUAUCACCACGAUCUUGAACAUCUCCAUCCACGAUAAUAACAAGAGGCGCGUUGCAGAGACGCCUAAUGUGAUUCAGAUUCUUAUUAAUGCUGUGAGGCCAGAGACCGCGACUGUGCGGAUAAGAACCAAUGCAGCUGCAGCCCUUUUCACAUUGAGCGCCCUCGACUCAAACAAGGAAAUGAUUGGGAAAUUGGGCGGCUUGAAGCCCCUCAUCACGCUGCUGGACGAAGGGCAUGAUUUGGCAAUGAAAGAUGCUGCAUCUGCGAUUUUCAGCCUGUGUAUCCUCCAUGAGAAUAAGGUGCAAGCUGUAAAAGAUGGCGCGGUUGGAGUGAUUGUGAAAAAGGUCAAGGAAGGAACACAUGUGAAUGAAUUGUUGGCGAUUCUUGCUAUGCUUUCGACCAACCAGAAGUCGGUUGGGAUGAUGAUCGACAUGGGUGCAGUCCCUUGCUUGCUCCGCAUCAUAAGGGAGAAUCCUUGUCCCCGCAAUAAGGAGAACUGCGUGGCCAUUUUGCAUACAAUCUGCUACAGCGAUCCAAGUACAUGGAGGGACAUGAGAGAAGAGGAGAACAGAAAUCGCACACUAUCUAAGCUCGUUCAAGACGGCACUUCUAGGGCAAAGAGGAAGGCUAAUGGCAUUCUGGAUAGGAUGAACAGAGCUGUCAACAUCAACCACAGCGCAUAAAUGUGAGCACAUAUAUUCUGUAAAUUCUGGUGACAACCCUGCUUUUGAAAACGAUCUUGAGGUUCGUCUCCGACUGGAGGGUGUUUAGUCAUAUGCUAACGCCCUUCCACGUGACAGAGACACAACGAGAGUAAUGUGGGCACAUUGAAUGGCCCUGUGUUGUCUUGCUCCGUGGUCCAUCAAAAUGGCACCAAACUUUUCUGUGUUUGGUCCCUUGCUCUUUAUCUGGUCAGCAACACAUCAAAAUAUCUCUCUCUGUAACACUGCUUUUCAUUCUAUUUUUUUACUGCUGUCAUACAUUGGACGGCUAGCAGGCUGAAACUGGGAAUCGAUAAGGUUCUGUUGUUUGGAUAUUCGUAUUUUUGUUUCUGUUGCGA